rnacentral:rRNA from 1 species
AGUCACUGACAUUAGAUACCCCUGUAGUCCAGAGUGUAAACGCUGCAGACUUGGUGUUGGAAGUCCUUUGGGGGCAUUCAGUGCCGGAGAGAAGUUGUUAAGUCUGCUACCUGGGAAGUACGGUCGCAAGGCUGAAACUUAAAGGAAUUGGCGGGGGAGCACCGCAACGGGAGGAGCGUGCGGUUUAAUUGGAUUCAACGCCGAAAAACUCACCAGCAGCGACUGUUACAUGAAAGUCAGGUUGAUGACCUUACUAGAUUUUCAG